CGCGGCUUAGCGGGCGGCGUGGUUACGGCCUCACGGCGGCUCCUUUAAAUGCCGGGCGCCACCCCGCCACCCCGCCUCCGGUCUGGGUCUAGCUAGCGGCCAGGCCUCAGCCGCGCGAUCCGCAAUGGAGCUGCACAUCCUAGAGCACCGAGUGCGGGUGCUGAGUCUCGCCCGCCAGGGUCUCUGGCUCUACACCCACCCGCUCAUCAAGCUGCUUUUCCUGCCCCGCCGCAGCCGGUGCAAGUUCUUCAGCCUGACCGAAACCCCUGAAGAUUACACGCUCAUGGUGGACGAGGAGGGCUUUAAAGAACUGCCCCCAUCCGAGUUCCUGCAAGUGGCGGAUGCCACGUGGCUGGUGAUGAACGUGUCCUCUCACAGUGGUGGGGCAGUGCAGGCUGCUGGGGUCACCAAGAUCGCGCGCUCUGUCAUCACACCACUGGCCGAGCACCACGUGUCCGUGCUGAUGCUGUCCACUUACCAGACAGACUUCAUCCUGGUGCGAGAACAGGACCUGUCGGUAGUGAUCCACACUCUGGCCCAGGAGUUCAACAUUUACCGCGAGGUGGGCGGGGAGCCUGUGCCUGUUGCUAGGGAUGAUUCCAGCAAUGGCUUUCCCCGCACCCAGCAUGCAGGGCCCAGUCCCACGGUGCAUCCCAUUCAGAGCCCGCAGAACCGCUUCUGUGUCCUCACAGUCGAUCCUGAGACUCUGCCAGCCAUUGCCACCACGCUCAUCGAUGUCCUCUUUUACUCGCACAGUGCCCCCAAAGAGGCAGCCUCGGCCAGCCCUGAAUCCAGCUCCAUCCCAUUCUUUGCCUUCUCCCUUAUUGAGGGAUACAUCUCCAUUGUUAUGGACGCCGAGACACAGAAAAAGUACGUGACCCCCGACCCUGGGUGGGCUACAGACGCCAGGCCAGCCCCAGAAAGUGAAAAGGCAGGGUGCAGACUCAGGCCAGCAGGUUCCCCAGCAACCUCCUGCUGACCAGUUCUUCCGGGGAGCUAUGGAGGAUGGUGCGCAUCGGUGGACAGCCCCUGGGUUUUGAUGAAUGUGGGAUCGUUGCCCAGAUUGCUGGGCCCCUGGCUGCUGCUGACAUCUCUGCCUACUACAUCAGCACUUUCAACUUUGAUCAUGCUCUGGUGCCUGAGGAUGGCAUCAGCAGCGUCAUUGCUGUCCUUCAGCGAAGGCAGGAAGGCUUGGGCUCCUAAGGCUUGGAGGGAGCUUGGCUGUCUGUCAUCCCUGGAUUUCCAGAGACUUCUUUAAGCUAUUAUUUCCUCAAUCUCUGGUUCCUACCUGGGGACCCCUUGUACUGCUCUCUGUGUGUAAGCUGCACGCAGGCACUGUUCUCUAGUGGACAUGUGUGUGCACCUCCAGUUGGAGUGGGCAGGUGCUGGCCCAUGCAUGUCCACCCAUGCAGGGGAAUACGGUGCUCGGGGCCCACGCCCCAACCCCAUCAUUCCCUGCGAGGCCUCAGCAUUUGCACAGUCCCUGCUUGAGGCCUGAGCCAUUCCCUCUUGCUCCCUGGGGCCUGCUGCCCCCCAGGAGGGCUCCAAUCCUGUCUGGCUGGGGUGCCUACCUGGCCAGGUGAUUCUGACAGUGCCUCCCCAUCCUGGGGCUUCUUAGAAAAGUAUUUUUACAUCUCUCUCUUCUAAUUGAGUAUUAAUAAAGGACUUUAUAUUGA